UAGAGUUUGAUCCUGGCUCAGAGCGAACGCUGGCGGCAGGCUUAACACAUGCAAGUCGAGCGGGCCCUUCGGGGUCAGCGGCAGACGGGUGAGUAACACGUGGGAACGUACCCUUUGGUUCGGAAUAACGCUGGGAAACUAGCGCUAAUACCGGAUACGCCCUUUUGGGGAAAGGCUUGCUGCCGAAGGAUCGGCCCGCGUCUGAUUAGCUAGUUGGUGGGGUAAUGGCCUACCAAGGCGACGAUCAGUAGCUGGUCUGAGAGGAUGAUCAGCCACACUGGGACUGAGACACGGCCCAGACUCCU
rnacentral:rRNA from 1 species